rnacentral:rRNA from 1 species
GGAUCAUUCCGAGUUAUACAACUCAUAACCCUGUGAACAUACCUAUAACGUUGCCUCGGCGGGAACAGACGGCCCCGUAGCACGGGCCGCCCCCGCCAGUGGACCCCCUAACUCUGUUUCUAUAAUGUUUCUUCUGAGUAAACAAGCAAAUAAAUUAAAACUUUCAACAACGGAUCUCUUGGCUCUGGCAUCGAUGAAGAACGCAGCGAAAUGCGAUAAGUAAUGUGAAUUGCAGAAUUCAGUGAAUCAUCGAAUCUUUGAACGCACAUUGCGCCCGCCAGUAUUCUGGCGGGCAUGCCUGUUCGAGCGUCAUUACUACCCUCAGGCCCCCGGGCCUGGCGUUGGGGAUCGGCGGAAGCCCCCUGCGGGCACAACGCCGUCCCCCAAAUACAGUGGCGGUCCCGCCGCAGCUUCCAUUGCGUAGUAGCUAACACCUCGCAACUGGAGAGCGGCGCGGCCACGCCGUAAAACACCCAACUUCUGAAUGUUGACCUC